rnacentral:sRNA from 1 species
AGAACAGGCGCCUUCUCCUUCCUGCUCUUGCCUACUUACUGUUCUCUUUUCUGCAGGUGGAAUAUGUGAUCAAGUGUGACAUGUCGGCUCUGCAGAAGAUUCUGUAUCGCCAUAUGCAAGCCAAGGGGAUCCUUCUCACAGAUGGUUCUGAGAAAGAUAAGAAGGGGAAAGGAGGUGCUAAGACACUUAUGAACACUAUUAUGCAGUUGAGAAAAAUCUGCAACCACCCAUAUAUGUUUCAGCACAUUGAGGAAUCCUUUGCUGAACACCUAGGCUAUUCAAAUGGGGUCAUCAAUGGGGCUGAACUGUAUCGGGCCUCAGGAAAGUUUGAGCUACUUGAUCGUAUUCUGCCAAAAUUGAGAGCGACUAAUCACCGAGUGCUGCUUUUCUGCCAGAUGACAUCUCUCAUGACCAUCAUGGAGGAUUAUUUUGCUUUUCGGAACUUCCUUUACCUACGCCUUGAUGGCACCACCAAGUCUGAAGAUCGUGCUGCUUUGCUGAAGAAAUUCAAUGAACCUGGAUCCCAGUAUUUCAUUUUCUUGCUGAGCACAAGAGCUGGUGGCCUGGGCUUA